UAAGACGAACCGUGCGAACGUUGUUCGGAAUCACUGGGCUUAAAGGGCGCGUAGGCGGGUCAGCAAGUCCGGGGUGAAAUCUUUCGGCUCAACCGGAAAAGUGCCUCGGAUACUGCUGGUCUUGAGGGAGGUAGGGGUUUGUGGAACUUCUGGUGGAGCGGUGAAAUGCGUUGAUAUCAGAAGGAACGCCGGUGGCGAAAGCGACGAACUGGACCUCUUCUGACGCUGAGGCGCGAAAGCUAGGGGAGCAAACGGGAUUAGAUACCCCGGUAGUCCUAGCCCUAAACGAUGGGUACUAGAGAGUAGUCUUAUCAUGGGAUUACUCUCGAAGCAAAAGUGAUAAGUACCCCGCCUGGGGAGUAUGGUCGCAAGGCUG
rnacentral:rRNA from 1 species